rnacentral:rRNA from 1 species
CCAAUAGCGUAUAUUAAAGUUGUUGCAGUUAAAAAGCUCGUAGUUGAAUUUCGGGAUCAACAUGUCGGUCGUGCCUCCGGUACGUACUGGCAUCGUUGAUUUCUACCUUCUGACGAACCAUGAUGUCAUUAAUUUGGUGUCAUGGGAAAUCAGGACUGUUACUUUGAAAAAAUUAGAGUGUUUAAAGCAGGCACACGCUUGAAUACAUUAGCAUGGAAUAAUGAAAUAGGACGUUUGACCCUAUUUUGUUGGUUUCUAGGAUCGACGUAAUGAUUAAUAGGGAUAGUUGGGGGCAUUAGUAUUCAAUUGUCAGAGGUGAAAUUCUUGGAUUUAUUGAAGACUAACUACUGCGAAAGCAUUUGCCAAGGAUGUUUUCAUUAAUCAAGAACGAAAGUUAGGGGAUCGAAGACGAUCAGAUACCGUCGUAGUCUUAACCAUAAACUAUGCCGACUAGGGAUCGGAUGAUGUUAAUUUUUUAAUGACUCAUUCGGCGCCUUACG